UCCUCAGGCCUACAGUUCCCCUUUCAGUUAUGUCCGAAAUUGACAGCUGGAACAAAAGAGCUCAUCUAUUUUAUUUGUAUGGAGAAGUAAUUUGUAGCUGCGUUUUGCCCAAGAUGCAGAAUAAACCAAAGGUAAUCAGCUUAUAACCAUGAAGAGGACAAAUGAUCCUGAUCUAUUUCUACAAAGGCAGAUCCUGUUCUGGCUUCUGAGCAGCUGAGUAGGAGAGCACGUAAUACGAGGAUUCCCUAACUGCUCUUCUGUGAUCAGAGAGGUCCAUGCUGCAACGUCAGAUCAAGAUGUUCCCAAACUAUUGCAAGUGGGCUACAAAUAGCUUUGGAAAAUGAUCUGUAGUGGCAUAGUGAAUUGGAAUGUGAGUCCUGUGGUGGAGUAUGAAAUGGAGGUCUGAAUUUUGUAGCUUGAGGCAUUUUCUAAAAUCAGAGAAAAAUGUGCAGAGAAAUAUAACCUUAUCCCAUGUAAGUGGACAAUAUAGAAACUUCUUAAGCUCAUAGAUCGAAUUCAAAAUGAGAAAGGAAACUGUCGAAUCCAGCUUUGUUGUAACUCAGAAUAAUGGAAAUAUAGCUGGUCUAGAAGCUUUUAUGAACUUUCUGUGAUCCCAGUUUUGAGGAGUCUCACAGAACAGGGUGGUGCUGGGUAACAUAGCUUCCAUUCCAAAAUCCAAGUGACAAACUAAGCAUGGUACAGUUCUGAAUUUAAUCACGCAUUGUCCAGGAGUGUUGGUGAUAUGAUGGGGAAGUGCAGCACCUGAACUUCUCAUCAGAUCAUUUGAAUCACUUAAUGCAUGAAGUGAGUAAGACUACAGGAUUUUCUAGGUCUCCCUUCAAGCAUAUUUGAUGCAUAUGUGAAUAUCAGACAUUUAAUACGUAAUUUGAGACCUGAUGCAGUGUGGAUCCUAAGGUGGUGCAAUUCCAGUGAAAUUACCUCUCCUUACCCUACACCAAAAAUUCAUUUAAUUCAUUUGUGUGCUGUUGUCACAGGAAAAUGAAGAAACAGUC